rnacentral:rRNA from 1 species
UACGGAGGGGGCGAGCGUUAUUCGGAAUCAUUGGGCGUAAAGGGCGCGUAGGCGGCCCGGUAAGUCAAAGGUGAAAUCCCUCGGCUCAACUGAGGAACUGCCUUUGAAACUGUCGGGCUUGAGGCCGGGAGGGGGUGGCGGAAUUCCCAGUGUAGCGGUGAAAUGCGUAGAUAUUGGGAGGAACACCAGUGGCGAAGGCGGCCACCUGGACCGGUUCUGACGCUGAUGCGCGAAAGCGUGGGUAGCAAACAGG